GUGCUCGCUUCAGCAGCACAUAUACUAAAAUUGGAAUGAUACAGAGAAGAUUAGCAUGGCCCCUGCACAAAUACAUAUCGAAUAUACGAGCACAGCAAGAUUUU
ensembl:snRNA U6 U6 spliceosomal RNA